rnacentral:lncRNA from 1 species
AUUGCUUAGUAAAUACUUCUGAGCAGGUAAAGCAGGAAUAUGUACGUUUAGAGAUUCAUCUUUGCUUAGGAGUGGGGUACUCUCCACAUGCUGCUGUUUUGUUUUCAUGAAGUAAUGCAAACCUGGUUGUUACAGCCUAUUUUUUCUUAUGUGUAAAAUGCCUUCUAAGCCAUGGUUAGAUUGUAUGUCUGAAUCAAACUUAAAUAAGUCAAGUUAUUAAAUUACUCUUUUUAGAAGAACAGUUU